CCUACGGGAGGCAGCAGUGGGGAAUUUUGGACAAUGGACGCAAGUCUGAUCCAGCCAUGCCGCGUGCGGGAAGAAGGCCUUCGGGUUGUAAACCGCUUUUGUCAGGGAAGAAAAGGUUCUGGUUAAUACCUGGGACUCAUGACGGUACCUGAAGAAUAAGCACCGGCUAACUACGUGCCAGCAGCCGCGGUAAUACGUAGGGUGCAAGCGUUAAUCGGAAUUACUGGGCGUAAAGCGUGCGCAGGCGGUUAUGCAAGACAGAGGUGAAAUCCCCGGGCUCAACCUGGGAACUGCCUUUGUGACUGCAUAGCUAGAGUACGGUAGAGGGGGAUGGAAUUCCGCGUGUAGCAGUGAAAUGCGUAGAUAUGCGGAGGAACACCGAUGGCGAAGGCAAUCCCCUGGACCUGUACUGACGCUCAUGCACGAAAGCGUGGGGAGCAAACAGGAUUAGAUACCCUGGUAGUCCACGCCCUAAACGAUGUCAACUGGUUGUUGGGAGGGUUUCUUCUCAGUACGUAGCUAACGCGUGAAGUUGACCGCCUGGGAGUCGGCGCAAGGUUGAAACUUCAAAUGAAUUGAGGCUUGGNGNGNGCGAGCGACGACGAGGAGGAGG
rnacentral:rRNA from 1 species